rnacentral:rRNA from 1 species
UAGGGAAUCUUCCGCAAUGGACGAAAGUCUGACGGAGCAACGCCGCGUGAGUGAAGAAGGAUUUCGGUUCGUAAAACUCUGUUGUUAGGGAAGAAAAAAUGUAUAGUAACUAUAUACAAAAGAGACGGUACCUAACCAGAAAGCCACGGCUAACUACGUGCCAGCAGCCGCGGUAAUACGUAGGUGGCAAGCGUUGUCCGGAAUUAUUGGGCGUAAAGCGCGCGCAGGUGGUUUAGAAAGUCUGAUGUGAAAGCCCACGGCUCAACCGUGGAGGGUCAUUGGAAACUAAUAAACUUGAGUGAAGGAGAGAAAAGUGGAAUUCCUAGUGUAGCGGUGAAAUGCGUAGAGAUUAGGAGGAACACCGGUGGCGAAAGCGGCUUUUUGGCCUGCAACUGACACUGAGGCGCGAAAGCGUGGGGAGCAAACAGG